UACGUAGGGUGCGAGCGUUAAUCGGAAUUACUGGGCGUAAAGCGUGCGCAGGCGGUUCUGUAAGCCAGAUGUGAAAUCCCCGGGCUUAACCUGGGAAUGGCAUUUGGGACUGCAAGGCUGGAGUGUGGCAGAGGAGACUGGAAUUCCUGGUGUAGCAGUGAAAUGCGUAGAUAUCAGGAGGAAUACCGAUGGCGAAGGCAGGUCUCUGGGCUAACACUGACGCUCAUACACGAAAGCGUGGGGAGCAAACAGG
rnacentral:rRNA from 1 species